rnacentral:rRNA from 1 species
GACGAACCGUGCGAACGUUGUUCGGAAUCACUGGGCUUAAAGGGCGCGUAGGCGGGCUGCCAAGUCUGUGGUGAAAUCCCUCAGCUUAACUGAGGAACUGCCGUGGAUACUGGAAGCCUCGAGGAAGGUAGGGGCAUGCGGAACUACGGGUGGAGCGGUGAAAUGCGUUGAUAUCCGUAGGAACUCCGGUGGCGAAGGCGGCGUGCUGGACCUUUUCUGACGCUGAGGCGCGAAAGCUAGGGGAGCGAACGGG